GCAUAUAUUCAUAUACUAAAAUUGGAGCAGUACAGAGAUUAGCAUGGCCUCUGGCAAGGAUGACACCCAAAUCUGUGAAGCGUCCCACGUUUAA
rnacentral:snRNA from 1 species